rnacentral:tRNA from 1 species
GCCUGGUUGGCUCAGUUGGUGGAGUGUGUAACUCUUGAUCUCAGAGUUGUGAGUUCAAGCCCACAUUGGGUU